AUUGAACGCUGGCGGCAGGCCUAACACAUGCAAGUCGAACGGUAACAGGAAGCAGCUUGCUGCUUCGCUGACGAGUGGCGGACGGGUGAGUAAUGUCUGGGAAACUGCCUGAUGGAGGGGGAUAACUACUGGAAACGGUAGCUAAUACCGCAUAACGUCGCAAGACCAAAGAGGGGGACCUUCGGGCCUCUUGCCAUCAGAUGUGCCCAGAUGGGAUUAGCUUGUUGGUGGGGUAACGGCUCACCAAGGCGACGAUCCCUAGCUGGUCUGAGAGGAUGACCAGCCACACUGGAACUGAGACACGGUCCAGACUCCUACGGGAGGCAGCAGUGGGGAAUAUUGCACAAUGGGCGCAAGCCUGAUGCAGCCAUGCCGCGUGUAUGAAGAAGGCCUUCGGGUUGUAAAGUACUUUCAGCGGGGAGGAAGGUGUUGUGGUUAAUAACCGCAGCAAUUGACGUUACCCGCAGAAGAAGCACCGGCUAACUCCGUGCCAGCAGCCGC
rnacentral:rRNA from 1 species